AUUGCACCUGACUAGAGAAUGUUUACAGCGAAACGUUUACGACACAGAUGGAAUCUCUGCAGUCCAAUAGCAGAUCUACUAUGAUGGUGACCAAUAAAAAAGAACUUUCUCUCUUCAGAUCCUCUCACCUUGAUACAGGAGGAAAAGGAAGCGACAGUGCAUGGUGAACUAGUAGGAGAGAGAAACAAGAUGGACUAGUGGGGCCAUCCAGUCCAACCCUUUUCCCCUAAAGUUAUGCCAUGGGCUGAUGGGUCAGGGGCACAUAAGAAAUGAGCAGUGGCGCGUCCUAAAUUAUGCUGAGACGCAGAUCGCCGGUCUACGGCCCAGGAAGUGUCGACAAAGCAGCAUUGGUGGAUCGUCCAGAAACGUGCAUAUCUUUGCACCUUAUUAACACACUGCCAUUGUGUUCUGGAACCGUUGCUUGUAUAAAUAACUUGUAACAAACGGAUUGUAUUAUUAACCUCUCGCUAUAAGAGACAUGUAACCAUUUACACUGCCAGUUCUUCCCUGCAGCUCCUUCAUUUAAAGAUGUUUCUAUUAUACAAUUAAAUAGUCUUCCUGAAUCUUUGGAUCAAGUUUUCCACAACAUUGAUUGGUUACUAAAAUGUACAUUUUACAUUUUAGUCAUUUAGCAGACGCUCUUAUCCAGAGCGACUUACAGUAGUGAAUGCAUACAUUUCAUUUCAUGCAUAUUAUUUUUUGUUGUCGUACUGGCCCCCCGUGGGAAUCGAAGUGAAAUGGCUAGCUAGUUAGCGGUGAUGCGCGCUAAUAGCGUUUCAAUCGGUGACGUCACUCGCUCUGAGACCUUGAAGUAGUUGUUCCCCUUUUCUCUGCCGCGGCUUUUGUGGCGCGAUGGGUAACGAUGCUUCGUGGAGUGUCAGUUGUUGAUGUGUGCAGAGGGUCCCUGGUUCGAGCCCAGGUUGGGGCGAGGAAGAGGGACGGAAGCUAGACUGUUACAGGAGCCCUCAUCUUCCAAACUGUAGGACAUUGUAAAAUAUGUUUGACACAGCGAUCCACACAUCUCGCCGUAACUGUUCAAACCUGAAAGCGUAUAUAUGAGAGAACAUUUGAAGCAACAUGAUGAAAGAUUCAACAUCAUACCCAGUCCUCUGUCCUAUACAACUCAUCACGUUAACCUUUCUGAGCAUAAGGAGAUGUAAUUGGUUAAAGUAUUCUAAGGUACUUUGCAUUUCUACUUCACAGUCUCACAGUUGAAUUGACCUGUUUCAACCCCCAACGCUGCACUUUCAUCACCCUGUGAAGUUCAUCACUUAUUUAAUCUGUAGUCUAAUAAACAGCAUGGUUUUCCAGAGGCAUUGUGGGAGGACCACACAACACUGAAACAUCACGUGACUCCAAGUUUACUUCCAUAUGAUGAUUAUUAUAUCAAUAUUUACGCAUGAAUUCAUUUCCACCGCCAUUUCUCGCACAAUACAUUUUACCGGCAAGAAGAUGGCACCAUGUCCAACAAACGAUCUGUCUGCAUUUAUCAAAUUGUACCGAAACUUCCUGUUUCCAUCACAGCUGUCAUCAUUUUAAUACAUUACUUAGUCAAGGUCAUGUGUUUAGGUGGCAGGGAAGUCAGGCGCAGGAGAAACAAACUUCAUAUAAGCGCGGAGUAGUUUAAUAAACUUUCAAACAAACUCCAACAAUAGAAUACAUUAAAAAAAUCAACAUGGGUACACAUACCCCGUCGCACACCUAAAUAAACAACACGAACACAAUAACACCAAACAAUCUCAGACCUGAGGGGAAACAGAGGGUUAAAUACACAGCAGGUAAUGAAUGGGAACAAGCAUUAGCAGAUGUCUUCAUCUCCUUCCCUGGCCACAGAAGACUCUGUGACAUCAAAGAGGAGUUCUAUAGGAUUGCAGGUAAGAGGAUCUACAAAUUACAGGACAACUGUUAACACAUAGUAGGAUACUCAUUACUUUGU